GGUUGAUCCUGCCAGUAGUCAUAUGCUUGUCUCAAAGACUAAGCCAUGCAUGUCUAAGUAUAAACAAAUUUAUACUGUGAAACUGCGAAUGGCUCAUUACAUCAGUUAUAGUUUAUUUGAUAGUACCUACUACAUGGAUAACCGUAGUAAUUCUAGAGCUAAUACAUGCACGAAAACCCGACUUCUGGAAGGGUUGCAUUUAUUAGAUACAAAACCAACAGCUGGUUGAUUCAUAAUAACUGAGCGAAUCGCUGCCUUCGGGCGCGAUGAAUCAUUCAAAUUUCUGCCCUAU
rnacentral:rRNA from 1 species